AAUCUCCCUCUUUUACUA
rnacentral:tRNA from 1 species